AGUGAGAGGGGAGGCCCGUCGAGGGUUGCCUGGACCCCAGAGGCUCAGGGAGCUCAGAAUCAGGGAUGGGCUCCCUGGAAGCAGGUGAGGCUGAGUGUGUGCCCAAGAGUGGCUGGUGACAGGCCUGGGCAGUGAUUGCAGGCCUGAGAGGGUGAUGAGGAGCUAGUGUGGGAGCCUGGAGGAGGAGGCCGUGCCCCGGCCCUCCCCUGUGUUACUGCAUUUCAGGUUGGCUGCGUCUCUGUAAGCUCCAGGAGUCAAGCCUGGCCAUGAGGUGAAGACCGAGAAACCCCCUCCACACACAGCACUUGUCCGGACCCUCAGGGCCAGGAGGUGGAGAUUUAGGAAGGCAGCAGGGUUCACCGUUCUCAAAUCUGCAUCCCAAGCAAACCACAAGAAACCUUCACAUGCAGUUCCUGUUGCUCUCGGAUCCCUGCCCAGCCUGACCCAUGGCGCCUUUUCGUCAGGAGCACCGCCUUCCACGGGCACUCACCUGGCUCGCGGUGUGGAUCCAGGACACCGUGGGGACACGGCUGCUGAGCUGGUGCCUGCCUGCCUCACGCCCUCACCCGAGCUCAGCCCAGCCUGGCCAGGCCCAGCAGAGUCGAGGGAGGAGACGGCCUACAGACAGAGCCUGGAAGGAAGUGUUUAAUCUUCAGGAGGAAGAGAAAGUAAUGCCUCCGAAGCAAUGUGCAGGGAGGGAGCCCCUGAAAUUCUCUGAGCUAAUGAAUACCCCCUGGACA
ensembl:lncRNA